rnacentral:misc_RNA from 1 species
GAUGAAGAACGCAGCGAAAUGCGAUAAGUAAUGUGAAUUGCAGAAUUCAGUGAAUCAUCGAAUCUUUGAACGCACAUUGCGCCCGCCAGUAUUCUGGCGGGCAUGCCUGUUCGAGCGUCAUUUCAACCAUCAAGCCCCAGGCUUGUGUUGGAGCCCUGCGGCUGCCGCAGCCUCCCAAAACCAGUGGCGGGCUCGCUAUCACACCGAGUGCAGUAGUUUACUCUUCGCUCAGGGCGUGUGGCGGGUGCUAGCCGUGAAACCCCCAACUUCUCAAGGUUGACCUCGGAUCAGGUAGGAAUACCAGCUGAACUUAAGCAUAUCAAUAAGCGGAGGA